rnacentral:rRNA from 1 species
UACGAAGGGGCUAGCGUUGUUCGGAAUUACUGGGCGUAAAGCGCACGUAGGCGGAUAUUUAAGUCAGGGGUGAAAUCCCAGAGCUCAACUCUGGAACUGCCUUUGAUACUGGGUAUCUUGAGUAUGGAAGAGGUGAGUGGAAUUCCGAGUGUAGAGGUGAAAUUCGUAGAUAUUCGGAGGAACACCAGUGGCGAAAGGCGGCUCAC